rnacentral:lncRNA from 1 species
AUGGAAACUUCGAGAGAAAACCACCACACGGCUAUUUGUUCACCACCGACAGCCGGCUUAAAGAGUUCUGCUCUGUGUUGCCACUCCCCUCCCACGCUGCCUCCCUUGGGGGCGACGGAUCUAACUCCGCACAGCCCCAGGAAGCGGAGCGUACUCUUCCUGCUGAAGGAUGAGAAAAACGGGCUCCGUUCCUGCAUCAAGGUGUGGACAUCUCUGGGGAAGCAUUAUUCUGCCUACCCGACCAGCCAAAGCUUUGCUAUUCAACUGAUAAGACAAACGAGACCCAGACCAAAGGCUGGGCACUGCAGAGCAGAGAGCUGGUUCCAGGGGCGUGUGGGAGGUGUCUCUGCUUAG